CCUUAUUGAGGGUAUUUCGGCUAAAAAUUAUUUAAAAAAUUCAUUCCUUUUAAAAGUAAACAAUUUAAAUUUAAAAUUUAAGAAAGUAAAAUUUAAAAUUAAAAUAAAACCUCUCUCUCCCCUUCUCCUCCUAAACCAAUUGCCCAACUCUAGUCAGCCACCACAUCCUUAUAACCCAACGCAACCACCAUCACAGCCACCCAAGCCCGCCCCUAGCCCAAACAAAUCAAAUACCCAACCACAUUGAAUCACAUCCCCAUGAAGCUUUACACACCUAACAUAUUAUCACAAACAAAUUCUUCCCAGAAUCGCUUAGGGUUCGUUUGAGACUGCUUCUCUAAGAAGCACUUCUCCUCAUAAGUGGUUCUAGUAAAAGUGCUUUUAUUAUAAAGAUGUUUGUUAUAGAACUAGAAUAAUCAGAGAGUAUGAGAAGUACCACUAAAUAUUGGGAGUAGAAUUAUAUUUGCUCUUUGUGGUGUUUACACUGACAGAAUUUCUUAUCAGAUAGAACUCACUCUCUCUUUUCU
rnacentral:lncRNA from 1 species